rnacentral:rRNA from 1 species
GUGCUUAACACAUGCAAGUCGAACGGUGAACACGGUGCUUGCACUUGGGGAUCAGUGGCGAACGGGUGAGUAACACGUGAGCAACCUGCCCCUGACUCUGGGAUAAGCGCUGGAAACGGCGUCUAAUACUGGAUACGAGACGUGAUCGCAUGGUCAAUGUCUGGAAAGAUUUUUCGGUUGGGGAUGGGCUCGCGGCCUAUCAGCUUGUUGGUGAGGUAAUGGCUCACCAAGGCGUCGACGGGUAGCCGGCCUGAGAGGGUGACCGGCCACACUGGGACUGAGACACGGCCCAGACUCCUACGGGAGGCAGCAGUGGGGAAUAUUGCACAAUGGGCGGAAGCCUGAUGCAGCAACGCCGCGUGAGGGACGACGGCCUUCGGGUUGUAAACCUCUUUUAGCAGGGAAGAAGCGAAAGUGACGGUACCUGCAG